GCCUUCGUGGUGUAGCGGUUAGCACGCUUGGCGCGGAUUCGAGAGAUCCGUGGUUCGAAUCCCGACUAGGGCA
rnacentral:tRNA from 1 species